rnacentral:rRNA from 1 species
CAAUAGCGUAUAUUAAAGUUGUUGCAGUUAAAAAGCUCGUAGUUGGAUUUCUGGUGGGAGCGAUCGGUCUGGCGCUUAGCGCGAGUACUUGCAUCGUCUCCGGCCAUCCUUGGGGAGAGUCUGUCUGGCAUUAAGUUGUCGGGCAGAGGAUCCUCAUCGUUUACUGUGAAAAAAUUAGAGUGUUCAAAGCAGGCUUAUGCCGUUGAAUAUAUUAGCAUGGAAUAAUAAGAUAGGACUUUGGUACUAUUUUGUUGGUUUGCGCACCAAAGUAAUGAUUAAUAGGGACAGUUGGGGGUAUUCGUAUUCCGUUGGCAGAGGUGAAAUUCUUGGAUUUACGGAAGACGAACUACUGCGAAAGCAUUUACCAAGGAUGUUUUCAUUAA